GUGCGUGCGUGCGUGUGUGUGUGUGUGUGUGUGUGUGUGUGUAGGGGGUAUUUUCUGAGUGAACUAUAAGUGCAUCCAGAAACAGCCAGGAAGUCUUUCACUAUCUCGGUAAUUCUGAAUGUGAAACGGGAGCAAUUUUACUGCGUUCCUGGAGGAAGACUGCCUGGCUUAUGGAAUGGUGAGGUGAGGGAUGCUGAAGAUCAGAAGAAGAUUCUUUCUCUCGGAAUGAAAGUUUUAAUUAAAAAGACAUGGAGCAUUAGAGGCUGCGACACUCAGGCAGAUGAUUCCACAAGCCCUCAAGAGACGAGCUUUGAAGUCUCAGCCUUAGGUCAG